rnacentral:rRNA from 1 species
GAAGUUAGCGGCGGACGGGUGAGUAACACGUGGGUAACCUGCCCAUAAGACUGGGAUAACUCCGGGAAACCGGGGCUAAUACCGGAUAAUAUUUUGAACUGCAUGGUUCGAAAUUGAAAGGCGGCUUCGGCUGUCACUUAUGGAUGGACCCGCGUCGCAUUAGCUAGUUGGUGAGGUAACGGCUCACCAAGGCAACGAUGCGUAGCCGACCUGAGAGGGUGAUCGGCCACACUGGGACUGAGACACGGCCCAGACUCCUAGGGGAGGCAGCAGUAGGGAAUCUUCCGCAAUGGACGAAAGUCUGACGGAGCAACGCCGCGUGAGUGAUGAAGGCUUUCGGGUCGUAAAACUCUGUUGUUAGGGAAGAACAAGUGCUAGUUGAAUAAGCUGGCACCUUGACGGUACCUAACCAGAAAGCCACGGCUAACUACAUGCCAGCAGCCGCGGUAGUACGUAGGUGGCAAGCGUUAUCCGGAAUUAUUGGGCGUAAAGCGCGCGCAGGUGGUUUCUUAAGUCUGAUGUGAAAGCCCACGGCUCAACCGUGGAGGGUCAUUGGAAACUGGGAGACUUGAGUGCAGAAGAGGAAAGUGGAAUUCCAUGU